CAACUUCCCUCCUCUCCAUCAUUUCUGCCUCAAGUGUUGUACCUAAGCUCACCGAAAACUUGACCACCGCGAAACAUCACCCCACCGCUGCAUGCGUCCCCACUGUCACCAGUGGUUCUGGCCAAAAUGUUUCUUUUCCCAAACCCACGACCACCUCCGGUUCUAGGUCGUUGUUCCUCCCUUCUGCGUUUCUUUGAGCGCAGUUGUUACUCCUUUCCCGUGGUAGUGCCCCCUUCGUUCCACAGGAAACAAGGUGUUAAAGACCAAGAAGCGGGUUGUUGUUGCUACGCGUGGUGAGUUAUCUCGAUCAAAAGUACGACAGAAGACUUCUUAACCAGCAUCUGAAUAUGGAGCACAUGAAAUGAGACUAUGCUACAAAAACUAAAAGUAGCAACGUUUGUAAUGUGAUACAGAAUGUUCAUAUUAUAAUUCAGGAAAUCUUGAGGAGUGAAUGUGGGAAAGGAAUAACAUAAAUGUUGGAAAUUCUUCAUAGACACAUCAUUUUGAUUCAUUCACACUACAAAGUGACUUUAAACUUCGAACAAUAUUCAUUUAUUGUUGGAGUAAAUGGAACUCUAUGUGAUUGUUUUAAAUUAGAAUUAUGUCUCAUUAUUCUUGUAUGUUUCAAGUGAUCCACUGGAAAGACCGAUCACAAGAUCACAUGAUGACUCAUUGUCCAAAUUUCAAGUUCUAGAGACAGUGACUAUUAACAUCAUCCCACACUGAAUGCUAAUUGAAAGUUUUCGAACUUUUUGUCUAGAACUUUGUUAUUCUUGGCAAUGAGAAUCCAUCAAAUCUUCUUCCAUAUCUUCAUACCCUUGUGCAUUAUAUACUUGAAUAUCAUCAUCAACGUAGCAACAUCACACAGUCUUCACCAU